GAGGGAUAGCCCAGAGAAAUUUGGAUUAAUACCUCAUAGUAUAGCAGUUUCGCAUGAAACCACUAUUAAAGUCACAACGGUGAAAGAUGAGCAUGCGUCCCAUUAGCUAGUUGGUAAGGUAACGGCUUACCAAGGCAACGAUGGGUAGGGGUCCUGAGAGGGAGAUCCCCCACACUGGUACUGAGACACGGACCAGACUCCUACGGGAGGCAGCAGUGAGGAAUAUUGGACAAUGGGCGCAAGCCUGAUCCAGCCAUGCCGCGUGCAGGAUGACGGUCCUAUGGAUUGUAAACUGCUUUUAUACGAGAAGAAACCCUCCGACGUGUCGGAGCUUGACGGUAUCGUAAGAAUAAGGAUCGGCUAACUCCGUGCCAGCAGCCGCGGUAAUACGGAGGAUCCAAGCGUUAUCCGGAAUCAUUGGGUUUAAAGGGUCCGUAGGCGGUCAGGUAAGUCAGUGGUGAAAGCCCAUCGCUCAACGGUGGAACGGCCAUUGAUACUGUCUGACUUGAAUUAUUAGGAAGUAACUAGAAUAUGUAGUGUAGCGGUGAAAUGCUUAGAGAUUACAUGGAAUACCAAUUGCGAAGGCAGGUUACUACUAAUGGAUUGACGCUGAUGGACGAAAGCG
rnacentral:rRNA from 1 species